UCUUCUUUCCUCCCUCCCUUCCUUCCUUCUCUCCUUUUUCUUCUGAAAAGAGUCACAGAGAGAAGGCCAAGAACAAGAGACAACAUAUUAAUAAUUGCAUCAGAUGGAAUGGAUUUUCCAAAAGACCACUACAACUGAAGGCAAGAAAGAAGUCAAAAGUUACUAUAAUCAUAACAUUGGAAUCCCUGUCUGUUGCGGAAACCCCACGACAUUUUUAUGAAGAGGCAACACUCUUGGCAAACUCUUCUUUGAAUGGCAAAAGAGAACUAUUCUGGCUAGAUUCUAUCCAGGUCAAGACCUUUUUCAUUAUCUGUCAAACACUCCAAAAUCAAGAGCCAGGCUGGGAUGAGCGGAAACUCUGAUUAUGUUUAUAAUAAAAAUUAAAUCCCUCAAUCCUUAACCAACAGAAGAUUUA